AAGGAGGAGGUGCAGAGUUGAAUCUGCGGAGACAACACUGACGCUGUACAGUGCAUCAUCUGCUGUUUCACUCCCUGGCCUGAUGGCCUGCCGUGAAUUAAGGACGGAGAGAAACAAAAAAAUGAAGAUUGCAAGCUGUCAACCAGAUGUCCAAGUCAAGAUAGUGACGCAGCAGCAACAAUCACAACCCAAUUCUGAUGGAGAGCUGUGUCAGCCUCAGCCCAUGAGGAGUUGUCGCUCUGACAACAGGCAGGGAAAGGUUGAUGACAGCCCCCUGUCUUCCAUCACAUAUCCACCCACUUCAUCCACAAUUCUGUCAAAAGCAUCCGCAGCCUGACUUUUAGAGGGAAAACCCUUCUUUAAAAGACGUCCAGGAAGUACAGAUACAGGGACUCUUUAAUACAGCUGUUUAAUGGAUACAUUUACCAAAAGACUCUUGAUUGGUUAUUAAUAGGAGUGCACAUAUGUGUUCAACUUUCACUGUAAAUACGAUGCCUAUUGCACUUUCCAUAUGAAAUGUCUUUGGUCUUUUUAAGCACAUGUCUAAACCAAUUUCCCCCUGGUGGGAUAAUAAAGUGUUCCUAAUCUAAUCCUCCUUGUAGUGCUAUCUUCUUGUUCUUCUCUUUCUAUCAUCCCUACUAUUCUAACCUCCCUCCGUAUUCCCCCCAGCAGUACGCUCUGGGGUAUAUUGACGACCAGCUUGUUCUGGCCUUCUCACGGUAGGAAUAGGAAAGGCCAGGGUCAUGUAUUGUAAUAGCCAGCAUCCUCGGUGCAGGGUGAACUGCUGCUGGUAUGGGCUCCCUCCCCCUUCCCUCCCCGCCUCCCUCUCAUUGUGCUCCAACUAAGAAGACCCAGUAAGCUGGUGUUCUGGUUCAACUCCAACAACAGCUGUUUCCAAGGGAGGGAGAGACGGUGAAUGUGUUUGUGCGAAGGGAGGGGAAUGGGUCCAUGGUCUAUACACCACAUCACAGAUCCAACUCUGGCUAUGUGGUCAUGUAAUGUCCUUGUAACAAUGUAAUCAUACUGAGGUGAAGCCAGCAAAGCCAUAGUUGCAGACUGUCUGUUGUGGCCACAGCCAGAGUCCCUAAACCUUUACAUGCCAGCACGAUUGGUUCUGAUUGAACAUUUAUUGGGUGACAUAUUACACAGUUGGGUGUAGUAAAAACAUUCACUUCGAUCGCCACCGGAGGAGUGAGCUUGGCAGGAAAGGUCUCUGCCCUGUCAAUAUAUCAUGACACACACGCCAGGAUAGUAUGAGAGAAUACGAUGUGUAUAUAAAGUGUGCAAGCCAGGCUGGAUGGUUUAGUAUUAGACGGACAGCUUUGUUUGGGUUCAUAGAGAUUACCCUGGGGCUAGUCACGUGGGAGAAGAAAAAUGAAUGUAUCUGAUUGGUUCACGAGAUGUCUUGAGUCAUGCUGUAUCUAAGCAUUAUUUCAAAUCACCGAUCUAUCCAUGGGUCUCUGGAAUGGACCGUUAAAAAGGGCUGAAAGCCAGCAUUAGGAAAUGCAUGAUUACAUAAAAAGCUCUUUAAUGUGACAAUUUGAUGUACUGGGGGAAAAUGUUCCCAUCUAGAAAUGCAGCUACAUCAUUCACAACGGUCCCGUAUGGAAAGUUAUUUACACCACACAAAAAAAAACGACUCUUCUGGUGGAGCCAUCCCGGCAGGGUAGAGUGUGAUGACGUGGUGUCGUCCUGGGAUCCUAACAGAUCCCUGUGCGUAAUGUUAUAUUAUGCUCUUUUCUCUGUAUGAACCAAGGUGAAUUCAGGAGGAUUAUAUUGUAUAAUCUGCAUAUGACUAACACACCAGACACUGAACAGCAGAGAGGCUGGUGAGCAUAGAGUCAGAGUCAAAGCAAGCCAAGGAGCCAGGAGACAGUCUGUUUAACUGUCCGUGAUGCUUUUUGAAUUCUUCCCCUAUUCAUGCAAAUGGCCUCAUGCACAAUUCAAUUACUGCCCGUACCACCGGUAAAGAGGUGUGCUGCACUGAGAUAAGAAGGCUCUGUUAUAGAAGCUUUUAUGUCUCUGUGUUUUUGGUGUGCGUGCAUGCGCGUGAGCACGCGUGAGUGAAUCUUUGUGUGUGGUUGUGUGUAUGUUAAAUGACGUGUGUGUAUGAUGAGAUUAUGACCAAUUCUCCGACACCCAUUUCAGACUCCCAAAAUGAGACGCUAGCCUCAAACUGGAUUUAACUUUUGGUCCUAAUGAUUAUAGAGGGAAGUGACUCUAAAGCCUUUCCACAGAGGGUUCCAUAUAGAACCCUUUCCAAAUAGAGGUUCUUCAUGGAACCGAAAAUGUUUUUUACCUAGAACCAAAAAGGUUCCAAAGGAGUGUAUCUGAAGAGUUUUUUUUCUUUCUAAAACACUACUGUAUAUCCACUAAAUGUUCACAUUUGUGUUUUUUCAUCAGAAUGAUUGUUUAUGAGUACUUUCAUGUGCGUGUUAGAUAUUAGUGUUCUCAGAUGUUUUUUUUAUUUUAGGAGGCAGAAAUAAAAUCAUCAUAUGUUAGCUUUUUCUCUUGCAAACCACUAUAUAUCCAUUGUUUGCUGGAAUGGAAUGUUUGUAUUAGAGGUCGACUGAUUAUGAUUUUUCAAUGCUGAUACCCAUACCGAUUUAUUGGAGGACCAAAAAAAGCUGAUACCGAUUAA